GCCCUUAUGGCUCAGUGGUAGAGCGCAUCACUAGUAAGGUGAACAUCCAUCCCUAUGAUGAGGUCCUAGGUUCGAUCCCUGGUAAGGGCA
rfam:Magnaporthe oryzae 70-15 chromosome 4, whole genome shotgun sequence.